rnacentral:rRNA from 1 species
UCCUACCGGUGGGCUUAGCUCCUCGUAUCCUUCGGGAUCGGGGGGCGGUCCAGCUAAUAUCCCAUCGCGGUGCUCUUGAUCGAGUGUCGAGGUGGGCCGGUACGUUUACUUUGAACAAAUUAGAGUGCUCAAAGCAGGCUAUGUUCGCCUGAAUAAUUUUUGCAUGGAAUAAUGGAAUAGGACCUCGGUUCUAU